ensembl:lincRNA
CGCCUGCGCACCGGAAGCUCCGGACACAAGCAUGGCGCCGCCUGCCGGGUGGGCCCUGUGCGGGGCCCUGUGCGCAUCUUUACCUUAGGCACCACCUCAGCUCCAACUCCUUCACUUUCUUCUUUUCUAAAACGAAAUAAGUUGAUUUUAAAGUUUAUGUUGAAGAACAGAUGAAGAAAAAUCACCAGGCAAACACUGCCCUAGAAAGAUGUCAGAGUGAAAUAGUUCAGCGUGAUUACACCCAGAGCCAUCUUUGUCAUUCUCUCCCUGCACGGACUGAGUGUUAACUAGGAGGCAGCCCAGGAGUAUGAAUGGCCUUCGUGACGGGUUAAGCGCACCUGGAAUGGUUGCCUGGUGUCUUCCUUUGCACGUGCUUACACACAUGGAAUGUGAGCCUGUGCCUUGCGCAUGCCCAGCAUGUGACACACCGCGGGCCCCAGUGUCCCCUGACGAAGCACACAACUCACACUGCUCGUCUGUGCUGAUCUCAGGUCCCACACAGCACGGUGUCUGUUGCAGGAGCCUCUCGCCCUUCUCUGUCGAGAGGCCUCUGCUCAGCCCGCUGUCUGUCGUCUCCCGGGCCUGGCCGGCCACUGCGGAAGGACACUCACUCUCUUCACAGCUGUGUCGGUCGAUUUCAGCAUUUGGUCUUCUCCCUGUGCCACUGUUUCCCCUGCUUUCUGACUAGGGGUCAUUUCCCCCGAAUUUCCGGUAUUUCCAUCUUGUAUAUUCUCUGCAAAGAGUUCGACUUGGAUGCCAUAAGCUUCCUAAGGGUCUUGUUAAAUCUUCUCACACAGGUGCAUCUCUGGCAUUUAACCUUGUCAUGUGGAGUCUGAAUUCCAUGUAAUCAAUAAAGACUAAGUAGUAAAUAGCUCCGAA